AAGUUCAUAUGAGAAUUCGUGAAUUAUAUUUUAAGCAAUCAAACCCUGAGUUUACGCUAGUCCCAACAAUAAUUAUUUACAUACCCUUGACAGGUCCAAUCGGGGUAGGGACGCCCGGCACACCCGCACAGCCCCCGAUUGUAAUUUCGACCUGUCGCGUCUUAUGCCUAAGUAACAUUAGUUAUAACAUCUAAAUGUUUUUGUGAAUUCGUAACUGUGUAAUAUAGUAUUUUGCGAACAUAAUAAGUAUGUACAUCCAAAUUGUCCAAUAAAAAAUAUAUAGAUACAUAUGUCUAUUUUGUUUAAUAAGUAUCUAUUUGAAAUUCUUUUGUAAAAUAUUUUUUUUUAUUUGCUAUGAUUCUGAUAGAAAACAAACUCUAUAAAAGAGUGUGAAUAUAAAUUUAAAGGAUUAACUAGCUUACAAAAAGCACAAAAUUUUCAUGGUAUACGGAGGCUAACGUAAUAUUUACUUAACAAUUAAAAUAUGACAAGGGACAGUGGAAAAUUACCCGUGGAAAUUUUCUUGUAGACAGAAUAAUUAAUUAAUAUAUAAUUUUCAUGUGAGGUGCGCUUAGAAUGAAAGCCUAGUUAACAUUAUUGGUGGAGGUCUAGGAACUCUAUUCGCAACUUAGUCGCGAUCUUUUGGAAAACUGUCAUUGUUGAUAAGCGGUCUGCAAUGACUUAGACCUAGCAGAGGAACCGCCAAUGCAUUGCCGGCCUUCCAGCAAAAAACGAAGAAAUUGACAAAAAGUAAUGUUUCUAAAAUAGAAUUCUUCUUAGGAUCAAACUAAAAACCUUGUUGCCACGUAGAAUUAUUUAUUAGAAAAUUUGGUUUUUCAAAAUUCCCACGUUUUUGGCGGCAACUCAAAAAUAAAGAGACGGCAGCAUCUUUAGAUAGAUGACAAGCUCGCGACCGCGACUCUUGCACAAGAAUCACUUUAGGUAUUAUGUCAAAAAUGUAAAUAAAUAAUUGUAAUAGAUCUAGCUGGUUCGCUAUUUUUGGAUUUCACGGCAUAAGAAGCUAACAGCUCCCUUUCUCAACAUUCGUGACGCGUGCAAUGUUAUUGUAAAAUGACGGAAGUAACACUUCGAACACAUUCCAUGGUUGUACAAAAUGUAAUAAUAAGUUUAUGUACAUAGAUAUCUAUCUGUCUGUCUAGAUAAAUUGCAUCAAUAAAUCUAUUCAUUUAUU